GAUGAACGCUGGCGGCGUGCUUAAUACAUGCAAGUCGAGCGAACAGACGAGGAUCUUGCUCCUCUGACGUUAGCGGCGGACGGGUGAGUAACACGUGUAUCACCUACCUAUCUGUCUGGGAUAACUUCGGGAAACCGGAUCUAAUACCGUAUAAUAUAUUGAACCGCAUGGUUCAAUGGUGAAAGUCGGCUUUGCUGGCACUUAUAGCUGGAUCCGCGCCGCAUUGGAUAGUUGGUAAGGUAACAGCUUAUGAAGGCUACGAUGCGUAGCCGACCUGAGAGAGUGAUCGGCGACACGGGAGGUGGGACACGGUCAAGACGCCUACGGGAGGCAGCAGUAGGGAACCGUAGGCAAUGGGCGAAAUCAUGGCAGAGUAGGGCGGCGUGAGAGAUGAAGGUCCUCGGAUCGUAAUGCUCUGUUAUUGGGGAAAAACAGAUGUGUCAGUUACUAAGCACGUAGUGACGGUAACUAAUCAGAAAGCAACGGCUAACUACGUG
rnacentral:rRNA from 1 species